GCACCCCAAUGAUGCCAGCACUGGGUGCUGACUCCGUGUGAAGGACAGACCAAGUGCCCCCUGGACUCCCAGGGGUCUGAGGGGCCC
ensembl:snoRNA